rnacentral:misc_RNA from 1 species
AAGUCGUAACAAGGUUUCCGUAGGUGAACCUGCGGAAGGAUCAUUAACACGUUUAUACGUCUAUCAACCAACUGUGCAUUCUUCGUGUAGCUCUAGGGCUCACGUUGUUUUCACAUUUUUCACCAUUAUGUCUCUAAGCAUUUGUUGUCCAUGAUGCAUUCCUUGUGAGUGUCAUCGUCAUGUCAAUCGACUUUUCGUUAAUUGUCAUACAACUCUUAGCAAUGGAUAUCUUGGUUCUC